rnacentral:rRNA from 1 species
UACAGAGGAUGCAAGCGUUAUCCGGAUUCACUGGGUUUAAAGGGUGUGUAGGCGGGUAUUUAAGCCAGUGGUGAAAUCUCCAGGCUCAACCUGGAAACUGCCAUUGAUACUAUAUAUCUUGAAUCUUGUUGAGGUGGGCGGAAUAUGUCAUGUAGCGGUGAAAUGCAUAGAUAUGACAUAGAACACCAAUUGCGAAGGCAGCUCACAAAGCAAGUAUUGACGCUGAGGCACGAAAGCGUGGGGAUCAAACAGG